UUGCAAUGGCUUCUUUGAAACUCAUUUUCUCUUCUUAUUCUCUCUUCUUCUUUCUUCUUUUUCGUUCUUCUUCUCUGCUCUUCUUCAGUUGAAAAUCGAGAGGUGAAAUUGAGGUAUGGCUUGAGGAAAUUUAAAUCGUGAGGAUGUAUAAAAGAAGAAGGAGUUGGUGUUUCUGCUAAUUAUGAAGAAGAAGAUUGAGUCCUGUUAUGAAUCGAGAACUAGGGUUUUCUUAGUGAAUCGUUAAUUGAGUUAGAAAUGGAGAAAUUAAAUAUGGGUUUUGUUCAUAUUGAAGAUUCGAACACGAAUUUCUGAAGAUUUGUCACCAUGGGUGCCUUAACUAUCAAUAGCUGUAAGCGUCGUAACGAUUAUCUUAACUUAAAUUAUGCGGACGGAGGAAGGCUUAAAGUCUAACUUUCGGAAGGACUCUCUGAGGAUUGCAGCUUAGAUGUACAACCUGUAAUUAAGUACAGACAAAAUGGCGUUAUCUUUUAACACAUGGAAGUAGAGAGAACUCAAUCACUCAUUCAGAACACCACCAAGCUGGUUGGAGAUUUCUUCUCCUGAGGUUGCUGUUGGAAUCCACAAAGACAAUAUUGAUCCUGUUCUAAAACAUAUCAUCUUAUGUCACGGCGUUGGUUUGCCCAUGCUUCUCCUACUCUUUUCAAUGCAAGGACACCAAGGCCUCAAUUGAGUAGAGGCUUCCAUGUGUGCAUGAUAGAGGACAAUAUUGAAGGAAUAUACGACACUUUGAAGGAGUGUGCUGUUAUUAGUAAAUCUGCUGGAGGAAUUGGAGUUUCUGUACACAACAUCGAUGCCACUAGUCUUAGCUUUGAAGGAUCUUUCUCUGGAUGGAACACUGGCUCCUGAAAUUUGUAAUUUUU